ensembl:lncRNA
GUAGUUGACGCAGCCGCGGCACACAGCUUAAUGCAGAUAAGUAACAAGAUAUUGGAAGACAAGUGUUGAAGAUGAAAGAGGCACAAGAUAGAAGAAACCUGGGUCCUUAGAUCCCUGCUUGAAGGAAAACCACUUGCCAAUCCAGAACAUCAUUUUGGACUUCAUAUGAGUGAGAAGCAAUCCUGUAUCAUGUUUGAGCCAUUAAGAGUAUUUUGGUUGUUUGUUCUGAUAGCUUUCAUAUGAGGUAUUAUGUCACCAAUGAGCAGGGACUAUGAUGAAUGUGUCUUUAGAACACCCAAUGAAGUGCCACUUGCCACAAGAAGGUGGGAUCAUUACUUGCCAGCCUUCUAGCUGAUGCCAGUGACAACAGCACGACAGGCUGAACUGGAUUCUUUAUGACUAUGUAUUCAUUAGGGGGAAAAAGCACUUCCAAUGCAAAUGACGGAAAUGGAAACAAGAUGUGCACUCUGCUGCCUAAAUGAAAGCUCUACCAGGUAGGCCGUUCACACUAAGAGUAGCCAAACAGGGUCUGUCAGGACAGUGGCUGCAACCCCUGUCACAGAGAAUGGACAGUGAGAGGUCCAAAUGGAUUGGGGGGCAUGAAUGGCACCUGACUUACAGCAGGAGCUCAGCACUUUUACUGUCUUUGCCGCUUCACUGGAACAAGGAGAAAAAGACAUUAGGAUGAAGGAUAAUGUGUGAUACACACAUAAAGAUGAAAGCGAGAGGGACACAUGCAAUGUCAUUUAUUGGAAGGACCACUUUAGGCUGCUCUGUCCUCUCCCCUUAAAACAUGCUCCACAUUGUUUUAACCAUCUGUGGCCCACUCUGGAGCUCAAGGAACCGUGGCCUUUCUGCUUUAUUGUGAGCACAGCCAUAUGAAACUGCAAUCUGGCAGCUGAAGGGGAAAGUACUUUUACUGUCUCUACUAAGAAAGGGUUUGGAUGAAUCGAAUCCCCUGUUAUGCAUGAAAUUGUACCCCCUAGAAAGCUCUGUUUAUGACCCAACCCACGGUACCUGUGAAUGUGACCUUAUUUGAAAAUACGGUCUUAUAGAUGUAAUCAAGCAAAGAUGAGGUGACAGUGAAUUAGGAUGGGCCUCAGCCAACAUGACUGGUGUCCUUAUGAGAAGCAAGGAAGAGAUAUAAGGAGAACAUGGUGUGACAAUUGAGACAGAGAUUGGAGUGAUGCAUCUACAAGCCAAAAAAUGUCAAGAGCUGUGAGUCACACCAGAAGCUAAGAGAAAGGCGUGGGACUGACCCUCCCCUAGAGCCAUCAGAAAGAGUCUGACCCUGGUGACACCUUGAUUUUGGACUUCUAGCCUCCAGAAUUAUGAGAAUAAAUUUGUGUUGCUUUAAGCCACUCCGUUUGUGGUAAUUUGUUAUGACAGUUCUAAGAAACUAAUCCACCCUGCUAAAGAGUAAAUGUCCAAUGCAAAACUUACUACAAGGAUGAAAAGGCUGAGAUAUUCCGAAGAGUCAUAAUGAACUGUGCCAUCAUCUACAAGGAAGUGCAGCACUGCAACAAUUCAAGAUAGAUCCUGGAGGCGUGGCAGGACAGAUGUGCCCACCAGACCAGGAGCACUUUCAGGACAGCAUCAUGCCUUGUUCUCCUCCACAUCCCUCCCUCUGUGCCUGAAAACCAGAAAUGCUCAAUUAAAUGUUGAAAAUGUC